rnacentral:lncRNA from 1 species
GGGAAGAGAUGGGGCUACCCUUGCUAAAGCAUAAGGUUGUAUUAGAUGCUAGAUGAUUUUUACAUUAAGCAAUGAUAACUCUAGCCUCUUGCUCAUCUGGUGAGGUCUGGUCUUAAUUAGCUAUUCUGUCCACCAUAAACUUAUUACCCAUUUCAAAGAUCACAUUGUUUAAACCUGUUUGAGAAGCAUAUUUUAAAGCAUUCCAAAGAGCCCAUGCUUCACCUUCCAUAACACCAAGACAUGGAAUAAUGUUGCAAAGAAAUUGAAGCUGUAAAUCCACCCAAACUGUCUCAAGCAAGCACCCAUACCCGUGCCA